UAAUUGUCCUCCUCUGAACACAACUUUCCAGGGUAUUUUGCAUUGGCCUUGUUUCUCUCUGCUGGCUUCCCUGUUGCAAGCAGAUCAAAGUAUUCUGGUGCAAAGAGCCGCAGGAAUAUGUGUGUGUGCAUGUGCAUAUUUGAAAUUUUAAGCAAAGAAUUCAGGGCCUGGGGUUAGAGGCAUCCUGAGAAUCUGGCCCUCUGAUAUUUUCUUCCUUCUCCCAGCUUUCCCCAGUGUGCAGUGGUAGGGCUGGGCAACCUGGGGAAAAGGGGAGAAGGUGACUCAGUUCCUUUCUCUGGUGACUGCCGGCGUGUCAUGCUGGGGUGUGUGCAUGGGCUGUGUGGACAGAGGCCUGGGGUUUCCUGGUGGGCAGGCCACAGCCCACCCUGCAGCCUCUAGGCCCCUGCCCCCUGGAGAGCUGCCAGCUGGCCCCUGGGCCUGUGUGGUAGACAAGCAGGGACACGGGAUGCUCACAUCCAAGGUGGCCUGUGCUUUGGGAAGUUGGGGGAACAAUUCCUGGCCUCGACCAGAAGUUGUUCCCGACUCCAGCCGACAUUGGGAAGGGUUCCCCUGCUGUAGCCCAGGUGUUCAGAGCUGCCUUUGCUCUGCGUCUGGGGUGCCCCCAGUUCCCAUGGACCAUAUGUUCUGCACCUCUUAAUUUCAAACAUGUAGUUUUAGUAAAUUAAUUUUAUUGCUUAUGUAGACUCAGUGAGUUGCCUGUGAAAAACAACCCUUGCAAAACAAAGUGAAACCAGACUUGUGAAAAACUUAGAUUCAGCAACUGGUAAUAGUUCUGGGCUUCCAGCCUCUGGUUUGGUCACAGCUCACAGGGCAGUAGCCCAGGUCCUCAGAAGUACAGGGAAGAGACCAGUGUCCCUGGGAAUCUAAUCCCCCAUUCUUAGGAAGAUCAUGUAUAGAGACUGUAAGGAGAACAUUUCUGUUUUGCACCACCCAUUGGGGAGACAGAAACUCACCCCGAAUCUCCAUGCUGUGAGCUGUCAUAUUUUAAAACAAAAUGCUGCCCUUUGCCACUCACGAUUAUGUGACAGGGAAAGACACCGAGAUUCCUGAAAAGUGCUGUGAGUCUUGCCCACUUUGGUUUUCUCUGGGUAAAGAUUUCUGAGUUUUUUUCUCCCAAAGUCAGCAUUUAAAUGACUUGUCUAAAUAAGAGCUCCAUUUACAUGGGCCCUGUGGUCAGGUUAGCUGAGGCCAGUAGAGAGAGGCCUUCCACUGUGACACUGCGGCUGGGUGGGCCCUGGGCAGCCUCCCCUGGCUGCAGCCACGAUGCCGGCAGAGGCCGAGCUCUGGCCAUAUCCAGGGUAUUUAUGGAGCUGGCCCAGUCUGUCCCUCUCAGAGGGCUGUUUGGUGGCCUGCUGUGGCUCACACCUGCCUGCCCCACUCACCCCUCAGUCCCCUGCCUGCUAGGCUUCUCCUCUUGAAUGGACAGCACCCAGCCCAGCACACAUGUAAAUCCACUGGGCAGUUGAACUGAGAAUAAGGUUUAGAGCAGGGCUUCCAGGGUAGGGCUGUUGUUCUGUAUUUAAUUUAGAAGCACAAUUUCCUGGCCUGUUGUCCUGAUGUGAGGCAUUUCUGUCUCAAUUCUAGGACUGGUUGCCAUAAAGGACGCCCACGAUAUAGAAACCAGGCUUAAUGAGGUGGAGAAGCUGUUAAAGACCAUCAUAAGCAUGCCGUGUAAAUAUUCCAGGUCAGAAGUUGUGCUCACCUUCUUCGAAAGAUCUCCACUGGAUCAGGUGU